rnacentral:rRNA from 1 species
AUGAACAACUUCACAACCGGAGCCACGGGAACUUCUGCUGUACUUCUCGACUCCGGAAACUUUGUCAUCCGGUUGCCCAACAACACAGACAUAUGGCAAAGCUUCCAUUACCCAACCGACACCAUCCUCCCCGGCAUGCAAUUACCACUGAGCACAGAUGAUGAUCUCUACACUCGCCUCGUGGCUUGGAGGGGCCCUGAUGACCCAGCCACCAGCGACUACUCCAUGGGCGGUGACUCUAGUUCAGACCUCCAGGUUGUCAUCUGGAAUGGGACGAGGCCGUAUUGGCGCAGAGCUGCAUGGGAUGGUGCGUUGGUCACUGCCCUGUAUCAAAGCAGCACUGGCUUCAUCAUGACCCAAACAACUGUCGACAUAGGGGGUAAGUUCUACUUGACAUUCACCGUCUCCGACGGCUCGCCAAGCACGCGCCUGAUUCUGCACUACACGGGCAUGUUUCAGUUUUUAGCGUGGAACAGCACCUCAUCGUCAUGGAAUGUUUUCAUAGAGCGGCCUAAUCCUAGUUGUGACCGCUACGCCUAUUGUGGACCAUUUGGUUACUGUGAUGCCACUGAAACAGUUCCGAAAUGCAACUGCCUCAGUGGGUUUGAGCCUGAUGGUGUAAACUUCUCCCAAGGGUGUCGGAGAAAGGAGGAGCUGACAUGUGGUGGUGGAGAUAGUUUCUCAACCUUGAGUGGCAUGAAGACACCCGAUAAGUUUGUGCAUGUCAGGAACAGAAGCUUUGACCAAUGCGAAGCAGAGUGCAGAAACAACUGCGCUUGCACCGCAUAUGCUUUUUCUAACAUGAAAAAUGGCAGCACGUCUAGUGACCAGGCAAGGUGCUUGAUUUGGUUGGGGGAGCUUGUCGACACAGGAAAGUUUCGUGAUGGAAGUGGCGAGAACCUGUACCUUCGUCUAGCCAGUUCAACAGGUAUACAUCUUUCCUUAUGCGCUUAUGGAUUGUACGGUGUGAUCUAUUCCUUUUAUGUCGAAUGGUAG